rnacentral:rRNA from 1 species
UACGGGGGGGGGCAAGCGUUGUUCGGAAUUACUGGGCGUAAAGGGCUCGUAGGCGGCCAACUAAGUCAGACGUGAAAUCCCUCGGCUUAACCGGGGAACUGCGUCUGAUACUGGAUGGCUUGAGUUUGGGAGAGGGAUGCGGAAUUCCAGGUGUAGCGGUGAAAUGCGUAGAUAUCUGGAGGAACACCGGUGGCGAAGGCAGGUCUCUGGGCCACUACUGACGCUGAGAAGCGAAAGCAUGGGAGCGAACAGG